UGGGGAAUAUUGCACAAUGGGCGCAAGCCUGAUGCAGCCAUGCCGCGUGUAUGAAGAAGGCCUUCGGGUUGUAAAGUACUUUCAGCGGGGAGGAAGGCGAUAAGGUUAAUAACCUUGUCGAUUGACGUUACCCGCAGAAGAAGCACCGGCUAACUCCGUGCCAGCAGCCGCGGUAAUACGGAGGGGGCAAGCGUUAAUCGGAAUUACUGGGCGUAAAGCGCACGCCGGCGGUCUGUCAAGUCGGAUGUGAAAUCCCCGGGCUCAACCUGGGAACUGCAUUCGAAACUGGCAGGCUAGAGUCUUGUAGAGGGGGGUAGAAUUCCAGGUGUAGCGGUGAAAUGCGUAGAGAUCUGGAGGAAUACCGGUGGCGAAGGCGGCCCCCUGGACAAAGACUGACGCUCAGGUGCGAAAGCGUGGGGAGCAAACA
rnacentral:rRNA from 1 species